rnacentral:rRNA from 1 species
AUUGAACGCUGGCGGCAUGCCUAACACAUGCAAGUCGAACGGUAACAGGAAACAGCUUGCUGUUUCGCUGACGAGUGGCGGACGGGUGAGUAAUGUCUGGGAAACUGCCUGAUGGAGGGGGAUAACUACUGGAAACGGUAGCUAAUACCGCAUAACGUCGCAAGACCAAAAUGGGGGACCUUCGGGCCUCAUGCCAUCAGAUGAACCCAGAUGGGAUUAGCUAGUAGGUGAGGUAAUGGCUCACCUAGGCGACGAUCCCUAGCUGGUCUGAGAGGAUGACCAGCCACAGUGGAACUGAGACACGGUCCAGAGUCCUGCGGGAGGCAGCGGUGGGGGAUAUUGCACAAUGGGCGCAAGGCUGAUGCAGCCAUGCCGCGUGUAUGAAGAAGGCCUUCGGGUUGUAAAGUACUUUCAGUAGGGAGGAAGGUGUACGUGUUAAUAGCCCGUACAAUUGACGUUACCUACAGAAGAAGCACCGGCUAACUCCGUGCUAGCAGCCGCCGCAG